rnacentral:rRNA from 1 species
UGGGGAAUUUUGGACAAUGGGCGAAAGCCUGAUCCAGCAAUGCCGCGUGUGUGAAGAAGGCCUUCGGGUUGUAAAGCACUUUUUGUCCGGAAAGAAAUCCUUGGCUCUAAUACAGUCGGGGGAUGACGGUACCGGAAGAAUAAGCACCGGCUAACUACGUGCCAGCAGCCGCGGUAAUACGUAGGGUGCAAGCGUUAAUCGGAAUUACUGGGCGUAAAGCGUGCGCAGGCGGUUUGCUAAGACCGAUGUGAAAUCCCCGGGCUCAACCUGGGAACUGCAUUGGUGACUGGCAGGCUAGAGUAUGGCAGAGGGGGGUAGAAUUCCACGUGUAGCAGUGAAAUGCGUAGAGAUGUGGAGGAAUACCGAUGGCGAAGGCAGCCCCUGGGCCAAUACUGACGCUCAUGCACGAAAGCGU